GGGAAGGUGGCUCAGUGGUAAGAGUGCUUGCCUUGCAUGCAUGAGGCCCUGGGUUUGAGUCCUCAGUCCA
rnacentral:tRNA from 1 species